GGGGGCAGAAAAAAAGUUUGCUUUAGAUACUUAAGGACUCAGGAAAUUUACUUCCCUUGGAGGAAGUAAAUUAAGACUCAAGAACAUGCUCAAGUAAAAGAAGAAAUAUCAAAGGGCUGAAUGAAAGAAUAAAUACAAUUUGAGUACAAUCGAUGGCUUUAAAGUUAACAAUAUAUACUUAAUGACUAAAAAAAAAGUCAUAUAACUAUAUCACAAGAAUGGAGAAAAGUAUGCAGACAAGCUUAUAAUAAAGAUGGGUCCUCAUGCUACAAGAUGUCAACAGCAGCUGAUCUUCAAGACCAUGUACUUUAUCCGUGGAAGCUCACUGUCAGACCUAAAAGUUCACUUCUG
rnacentral:lncRNA from 1 species